rnacentral:rRNA from 1 species
GUGGGGAAUCUUAGACAAUGGGGGCAACCCUGAUCUAGCCAUGCCGCGUGAGUGAUGAAGGCCUUAGGGUCGUAAAGCUCUUUCGCUGGGGAAGAUAAUGACGGUACCCAGUAAAGAAACCCCGGCUAACUCCGUGCCAGCAGCCGCGGUAAUACGGAGGGGGUUAGCGUUGUUCGGAAUUACUGGGCGUAAAGCGCGCGUAGGCGGAUUGGAAAGUUGGGGGUGAAAUCCCGGGGCUCAACCCUGGAAUGGCCUUCAAAACUCCCAGUCUUGAGGUCGAGAGAGGUGAGUGGAAUUCCGAGUGUAGAGGUGAAAUUCGUAGAUAUUCGGAGGAACACCAGUGGCGAAGGCGGCUCACUGGCUCGAUACUGACGCUGAGGUGCGAAAGCGUGGGGAGCAAACAGGAUUAGAUACCCGUGUAGUCC